rnacentral:rRNA from 1 species
GAGUUUGAUCUUGGCUCAGAUUGAACGCUGGCGGCAUGCCUUACACAUGCAAGUCGAACGGUAACAGGUCUUCGGAUGCUGACGAGUGGCGAACGGGUGAGUAAUACAUCGGAACGUGCCCCGAUCGUGGGGGGAGUAACGGAGCGAAAGACUUUGUCUAAUACCGCAUACGAUCUACGGAUGAAGCAGGGACCGGCAAGGCCUUGCGCGGACGGAGCGGCCGAU